rnacentral:lncRNA from 1 species
CAGUCGGGCAGGUACGGCAGCUCGUCCAGGAACUGCAAACAGCGCUCAAGCGAUUCCAGAACCGCUACUUUGAAGCGGUCGUACGGAAGGACGUAUGAGAGCCGGUACGCGGCGGCGGGGACGCUGCACAGCACCAGCAGCAGCACCGCGUUCCCCGCAUCCGCCAGCUCCGAGAAAGGCACUUUGCGGGAGGCAUGCGAGUCCAGGCAGGAGCGAAUCGCCCCAAGAAGCUCCUGAAAUUCCGCUCCUUCGGUCCACGGGGCCCCGGGGGCGUUUGCAGCGGGCCGGCCAAGCGACGUUGACGGCUCGCCCAUCAUCGAGGCAGGGCUUUUGGGCCCGUCCUUCGUUCCGCAGGCGCAGCGGCAUGCACGAGUAAGAUGGAGAGUAAUUCAUAUGGAAUAAAGGUCUUGCGGCGAUAGCGGCAGCCGCGGUGGCACCCCUCGCCUAGCUGCUGACUACGAAAGGUCGCCGGUGUUUUUGCUUACCUUUCCCAAUCGGUUCCAUGUAUUAGAGAAGAAUACUACGCUCGCGACAGCCCAGCCGACCACAAGCUGUAGAAAGGUGCAAGUGACGAGCCGAAUUUGGUUUAGAGGCACCAUUCCCAGGCGGCAAAGACCGCGUUACUAUGCGGAUAUCUUACAGCUAGAAGCUUGCCACCCAGCGCUUCGAGCGCCGUUGCGCUGCUUGGAGAGGUUGCCCACGCGAGAAGUGCGUCAUACUGUGACAACGCAAGUGCUAACGCAACAAGGCCGAUAAUAAUUAAUGCAAUCCCCGUUCCAGUUGCCAGGCCUUCCAUAUUUACUCACGUGCAAGGCUGUAAGCUAAGCCCCGAGACAACUAACAGCGCAAAUAAACCCUGACUCAUGGCAUCACAAUUCCACAGCACGAGCGUUAAGACCUGUACAAUCUUCUUGAUUUCUUGAGGUAAAGCAAAAAAACGCAAGAAGGUACGUAUGCUGUCGUACGCAGUAGU